AUAAAUGCAGUCGACGGUAGAUUACUUUCGGGUAAUUGAGAGUGGCGAACGGGUGCGUAACGCGUAUGCAACCUACCCUAUACAGGAGGAUAGCCCGGAGAAAUCUGGAUUAAUACCCCAUAGUAUCAUUGAGCUGCAUGGUUUAAUGAUUAAAGAUUCAUCGGUAUAGGAUGGGCAUGCGUCUGAUUAGCUAGUUGGCGGUGUAACGGACCACCAAGGCUACGAUCAGUAGGGGUUCUGAGAGGAAGGUCCCCCACACUGGCACUGAGAUACGGGCCAGACUCCUACGGGAGGCAGCAGUAGGGAAUAUUGGGCAAUGGACGAGAGUCUGACCCAGCCAUGCCGCGUGCAGGAAGACGGCGUUCUGCGUUGUAAACUGCUUUUAUCUGGGAAGAAAAUGCCCUUGCGAGGGAAAUUGCCGGUACCAGAUGAAUAAGCACCGGCUAACUCCGUGCCAGCAGCCGCGGUAAUACGGAGGGUGCAAGCGUUGUCCGGAUUUAUUGGGUUUAAAGGGUGCGUAGGCGGCUAUUUAAGUCAGUGGUGAAAGACUCCGGCUCAACCGGAGCAGUGCCAUUGAUACUGGAUAGCUUGAGUAUUGGAGGGGUACAUGGAAUUGAUGGUGUAGCGGUGAAAUGCAUAGAUACCAUCAGGAACACCGAUAGCGAAGGCAUUGUACUGGCCAAUAACUGACGCUGAUGCACGAAAGCAUGGGUAGCGAACAGGAUUAGAUACCCUGGUAGUCCAUGCCGUAAACGAUGAUUACUCGCUGUUAUGGCUUUAUGUUGUAG
rnacentral:rRNA from 1 species